rnacentral:rRNA from 1 species
GACGGAGGAUGCAAGUGUUAUCCGGAAUCACUGGGCGUAAAGCGUCUGUAGGUGGUUCGAAAAGUCCACUGUUAAAAAUUGAGGCUUAACUUCAAAGAUGCCGUGGAAACUUUCAAACUAGAGUAUGGUAGGGGUAGAGGGAAUUUCCAGUGGAGCGGUGAAAUGCGUAGAUAUUGGAAGAACACCAGUGGCGAAGGCGGCUCACUGGUCCGGUACUGACGCUGAGGCACGAAAGCGUGGGGAGCAAACGGG